UAGUCCAUCCAUUAGUAACAACAUCAACAAGAUCUGGAUCAAGGGAGCCAAGAAAUCUCAAACCUGAAAAUUUUGCAGUAGUGUCUCUUUUUCUUGACAUCUAAUCUGAUCAAGAUGGGAGAGUGAUCAGAUUUGGAGGCUAUGUCGUUUUCCAUUCUGAAAUUUGGAAACAUUUUGAACUAGUACCAUGUUGCAAGACCUCGAUCAAGAUUCUUAUUAGUUGCAUCAUGUUUUUCUCUCCGUCUAGCUCAUGUGUAUUGGUAUCCUUCCAUAGGAAUAUCAUGAAGAUUGCAAUCAGUGAUAGCUUCACGAAAACCAUUCAUAAGCCAGGAAGGAUGAUCAUAUAGCACCAAUCUUCUCGUCAUUUGACAUUAGGUCAUCGAAGUCACCAAAGAUGCAUGCACCAUGGGAGGGAUGUGUCUAAGGAUAGAAAUCUGAGAAGAUCCCAUGAGGUCAUCCUUCA
rnacentral:lncRNA from 1 species